rnacentral:misc_RNA from 1 species
AAAGUGCGAUACGCGGUGCGACACGCGCGAACUGUGAGUCAUCGGAUCUUUGAACGCAACUUGCGCCCCUCGGGGCAUGUCUGCCUGAGCCGGCACAAACCGUGGGAAACCGCGCUGGGGACGCGUCCCCGAAACGCGUGUCUGGGCGCGCUGGGCUGCGACUCGUCACGCAGCGCGCCCGCUGCUUGCCGCUCAGACAGACAGGACCACCCGCUGGACUUAA